AUAGUUUUGGCCUCGGAGACGGGCCUCGCUUCUUUGUUUCCCUCACCGUCUGUUCGUACUGAGUUGCUGUUGCUGUAGAGACACCGAAAGGGCUUCCCCUUUUCCACCCACGCUGCCCACAACGGCCCCUCUCUCCUGAAAUGAUCAACUUCUGCUGUGCAUAGAGUUCUGCUAUGGUGACUGGGCCAGUAUCUGCCAUGGCAUCAGAACUCUGUAAAACAAUAUUGGAGGCGAAACUAGAAAGACACAAGAAUUUAUUCUUAAACUACCGAAAUCUGCAUCACUUUCCUUUGGAACUGCUGAAGGAUGAAGGUCUGCAGUACUUGGAAAGACUCUAUAUGAAAAGAAAUUCAUUAACCACCUUGCCAGAAAACCUUGCCCAGAAGCUCCCAAACCUUGUGGAAUUGUACCUUCAUUCAAACAAUAUUGUUGUUGUACCUGAAGCAAUUGGCUCCCUGGUUAAGCUGCAGUUUUUGGACCUGAGUGACAAUGCUCUUGAAAUCAUUUGCCCAGAGAUUGGCCGCCUGAGAUCUUUACGCCACCUUCGAUUAGCUAAUAAUCAGCUGAAAUACUUGCCAGCAGAGGUUGGCGAUCUUAGAGAGCUGCAGACACUGGACAUCUCAACCAAUCAUUUGAUCAGCUUGCCUGAACGGCUGCACAUGUGCCUCUCUCUUCAGUACCUAACUGCUGACCGGAACCAUCUAUGGUAUGUCCCUCGCCAUCUCUGCCAGCUUCCCAGUCUCAAUGAAUUGUCCAUGGCUGGAAACCGUCUUGCAUUUCUGCCACUGGAUUUAGGUCGUUCCCGAGAACUGCAAUAUGUUUAUAUGGAUAACAAUGUUCACCUGAAAGGGCUUCCCUCUUACCUUUAUAAUAAAGUCAUUGGUUGUAGUGGUUGGAGUGAGGCUAGACUCCAUAAUGGCACAGACAUACCUUCCAGGGGACUGCUCACAGCAGUGGAAGCUGUGGAUAGCUUCACAGAUCCAGGUUGUGCCCAGGAUGAUGGUGAGGUGAGUGCAACAAUUCCUGGGGCUUAAAGCAGUGAUGGUCAUGAUUGUCCGGGUUGCAAGGAUAUAGAUGUGGCCACUGGAACUCUGGUUCAUUUGAUCCGGAAGCGCCUGGUGUUCAGCUCUAGCAAGCCUCUCCUUGUGGACCCGCCAACACAGACUGGCAGACAGGGUUGCCUUCACACCCAAGGAAUGGGACCUGACUCUGACGACAGAUGUGUCAUGUCUGGGAUGGGAGGUGUGCUGUGCUAGAGGAAGGACUCAGGGACUGUGGGACUGGAGGGAACGUAUCAACUACCUGGAGCUCCUUGCCGCCUAGAAAGCACUGAUCACUUUCCAGCUCCUCCUCGGGGCAAACACGUUUGGGUCACUUUGGACAACACUGCAGUGGUGUUCUACCUGAACAAGCAAGGCGGCACAUAAUCUUCAUCCCCAACCUGUCUCAUACUGUAGAUCUGGGGCUGGUGCCUGGAAAUUACUGUCCUGGCCAUCCACUUGGCCAGGACCAACAACAUCAUGGCAGAUGCCCUCAGCAGGAAGCCCAGGAGAACCCGUGAAUGGAGACUUGGGGAACCCUGUCUGUGGACUUUUUUGCCACUCCAACUUACAUGGAAUGCUCCUGGACUGAGAUCAGCCAGGGUUCAAUGGAAGAUACUUUCCUUCUUCACUGAGAAGGAACCUUGUUCUACCUGUUCCUGCCAUUUCCAUUGAUCACCAGGAUGCUAACCAAGAUCAGGAGAGAGGGCACUCCUGCAUUCUCAUCACUCUGUGAUGGCCCCAUCAGGCAUUGUUUGCUCACCUUCUCCGCCUGUCCAGCUGCAAGUUCAUCCGUCUUUCAAUAAGACCAGACAUCAUCUCUCAGGGCCGAGGGAUGGUCCUUCACCUGGACACUGGGACCAUCUGUACAAUGGCAUGAUGGAUUGCUUGGUAGAUGGGAGAACCUUCUCUGUUCCUGGAAAAUACAAGUAAUCCUGGAUGCAAAGCCAAAUGGAGCAACUUUACAGCCUUUGUCUGGAAAGAAGCCUUCAAUCCACAUCAGACAUCCAUGUAACAGAUCAUCAGCUUCUUCCACACGCUCCACACCAGAGGCCUGAAACCAUCCUCCAUCAGAGUAUAUCUGGCAACAUAUCUCUUCCUUUCAUGAGACAGUCAAUGGUUUCUCCAUUUUCUUGCAUCCUCUGUCCUGUCAGUUUCUUAGAGGUCUACACAACCUGUUCCUUUGUGCUGGAAUGGAGCCUCUUGGGGGUCCUGCAGGCUCUUAUGAAGUUUCCUUUCAAGCCUUUGACCACCAUGGACUUACGUCUUCAUUUCUGGUGGCGAUCACUUCUGUCAGGUGGGCAAAUGAACUUUGUACGUUGUGCAUCGAUCCAUUGUUCCUUAUUUUCCAUAAGGACAAGGCAGUUCUGCGACCUGUCCACACGUUCCUCCUGAAGGUCAGGUCAUGAUUCCACCUGCACCAAGAAAGUGUAUUCGCAACAUGCUCUUCAACACCAUCCACCCCAGUGGAAUCAGCCCUGGGUAUGCAUAGGGUGCUGGCAUCGGUCCCAUACUGAACCCUUCCAAGAGUCCCAGUGACCUUUUGUUGCAUAUCGGGUGAAUGGUCCAGAGGUAAACCCAUCAGCCCCCAGUGACUCACUCACUGGCUCACUGAAACCAUCAAACUGGCCUACCAGUGGGCUGGGCUGCACCUCUCUGAAUGACCAAGGGCACUUUCUACCAGAGUUAUGGUGACAUCUUUGGCACUGCAUGCCAGCAUCCUACUGCAGGACUUCUGCAGAGCAGCAGUGUGGUCCACUCCAUCUGCCUUCCUCCGGCACUACUAGCUCAGUGUCCACGUCAGGCAAGAUUGCUCCUUUGGCUAAACUGUCCACUUGGUGGUCCUCAGCUGGCGACAUCAGCCUCCCUCCAUUUUGAGGUAAGCUCUCUCAUCGCCCAUGUGAGUGAUGCACAGAGAUCACGAAGAAGGAAGUACGGUUACUUAUCUGUAACUGAGGUUCUUCAAGUGGUCUUCUGUGCAUUCACACAACCUACCCACUGGCUCCUGCCUGAAUGAGUUUAGCUAGGAAAAUCUUUCCAACAAGCCCUGUGCAGAGCCUAUAUAUGUGAAUGCACAGGUGACCACUCGAAGCAUGUCGGUUACAGGUAAGCAACCUUACUUUAUGCUACCAUCCACAGGCUUCAACAAAAGCAGUCCGUGUAGUUUGUCUAUUUGUAGUUAAGUCCUCAGUCUUGGGAAAUGUCCUCCUCCUCCUCCUCCUCCUCCUCCUCCUCCUCUGCUGUCUCAGUGCCCUCCUGCCCAUCUCAGAGCUUCUAGGCACCAGUGGCUUCCUCCCCCGCCCUGUGGCUGCCAUAGGAUGGGGAUGGAGGCUGUUGGGACACUGUGCCCCACACAUGGUCCUGGCCUCCCUUUAAGGAAUAGGGAUGUGGAAGAUUUCAUUGUCUUUCCUGUUUUGUUCAGGGUCUGCAGACCAUAUAACUUAUCCUUGACUGAGACUUGCUUCAUGAUUGAACCUCAGUCUUCUGUUCCCAGCUUUUUCAGAAGCACAGAUUCCCAGUCUCAACUUCUUUUUUCAUUUAUGCCAUUUAAUCCUUUGAAUCUCACAUUCAUUCUAGAGUACACCAAACUCUAGAAAAUUCACAGUUGGGUAUGUCUUUUUCAGUUUCCUUCUCAGACACUGCCUUGCUCUUUCAACUAUGAUCUCCCCGAAUAAAUUUUUUUGUGUACAUUGCCACUUUUGCUUAAAUCAUUUGUGGCCCUAGAGUCGAUUGUGUUCAUCCUAGCCUUCUGGAUAAGCCAUCACACUACUAGGCUUUGAAGAAAGUUUUGUGUGUAGCUGUCUGACAUCUGUUGAGAUUAAUGAAAGUUGAUAAACUCACAUUGGGAUUGUCAUGCUGGAACGUCUUAGCACGUUUUUGUGUGGAUACACCAAAGUAGCUUGACUUCAGGGAUUGUGUAGCCUAUUACUAUGGUUUCUAAUUCCUGAUGCAUGAUGUUGGGCAGAUUUUAUGCAUGCUAGAAGGUUACCAGCUGAGCAUUCUUCCCAACUUGGCUGCUUUAAUCCAAGAAAUCCUCCAUCUUUCCUGAGCUGUAUUGGCAGACUUUGCUAUGGUUUCCUUUUCCAUGGAACCCAGGCAAGCCAUGCUUCGAGAAAACGCUCUAAGAAGAGAAACAUGCUGCACAGCAUGGUCGCAAUUCACUAGUGCUUAAUAGCUCUAAGAAAAUUAGUUUUAUUUUCCUGACACAUUAGUUGGAAAACCUUUGAUCUCUCUAAGCUGUUUGAUCCAAAAUAUGUAAGGUAAGAAGCAUGUCUAUUCUGAAUUUGCCCUGUAAAUACAACAAGGCAAAGCAGCUUUCUGCAUUGUGCUUUAUAUGGUUACACAGAAGGUACUUUGAAGAAUCUUCAUAAAAAUACAAAGUCUGAAUGCAACAGACACAGAAAGCAAUGUGUGGAAGCAGUACAACUCUUCAGAGGUACAUGAACCAAACCCCCAGCGUAUAGUAUGUUCAGCAGCCCUCCAACAAGAGGACGGAAAGGAUGUAGUUUGGGUCAGUCACUGACUCUUAACCUAACCUACUUUACAGGGUUGUGAGAAGAGAGGAAGAACACUAUCUGUGGUUCUCCUGCUCUCCAGUCAGAGGUGAAGCUCCUCUCCUUUUCCUCGGGAC